ensembl:misc_RNA Metazoa_SRP Metazoan signal recognition particle RNA
GGUGGGUGUGGUGGUGCACACCUGUGGUCCCAGCUACUCUGGAGGCUGAGAUGGGAGGAUCACUUGAGCCCAGGAGGUCAAGGCUGCAGUGAGCCAUGAUUGCACCACUGCACUCCAGCCUGGGCAACAGAGUGAGACCCCGUCUCAA